AAUAGAUACCCGGGUAGUCCACGCCGUAAACGAUGGAUACUAGCUGUUGGGGGUAUCGACCCCCCCAGUAGCGAAGCUAACGCGUUAAGUAUCCCGCCUGUGGAGUACGGUCGCAAGACUAAAACAUAAAGGAAUUGACGGGGACCCGCACAAGCGGUGGACCAUGUUCUUUAAUUCGAUGAUAAACGAAGAACCUUACCAGGGUUUGACAUCCCGAGAAUUACUCCGAAAGGAGUGAGUGCUUUAUUGAACUCGGUGACAGGUGAUGCAUGGCCGUCGUCAGCUCGUGUCGUGAGAUGUUUGGUUAAGUCCAUCAACGAGCGCAACCCUUGUGAAUAGUUGUUAUUUUUUCUAUUCAGACUGCCCCGGGCAACGGGGAGGAAGGGAGGGGAUGAUGUCAGGUCAGUAUUUCCCUUACAUCCUGGGCUAGAAACGUGAUACAAUGGCCGGUACAAUGCGCAGCGAAGCCGCAAGGCGAAGCAAAUCGUAUCAAAACCGGUCCCAGUUCGGAUAAGAGGCUGAAACUCGCCUCUUUGAAGUCGGAAUCGCUAGUAAUCGC
rnacentral:rRNA from 1 species